rnacentral:misc_RNA from 1 species
GAUGAAGAACGUAGCGAAAUGCGAUAAGUAAUGUGAAUUGCAGAAUUCAGUGAAUCAUCGAGUCUUUGAACGCACAUUGCGCCCCCUGGUAUUCCGGGGGGCAUGCCUGUCCGAGCGUCAUUGCUGCCCUCAAGCACGGCUUGUGUGUUGGGCCGUCGUCCCCCUCCUAGGGAACGGGCCCGAAAGGCAGCGGCGGCACCGCGUCCGGUCCUCGAGCGUAUGGGGCUUCGUCACCCGCUCCGUAGGCCCGGCCGGCGCUUGCCGACGACCAUCAAUCUCUUUCUCCAGGUUGACCUCGGAUCAGGUAGGGAUACCCGCUGAACUUAAGCAUAUCAAUAAGCGGAGGA